UACAGAGGGGGCAAGCGUUGUUCGGAAUUACUGGGCGUAAAGGGCGCGUAGGCGGCCUGUUAAGUCGAACGUGAAAUCCCCGGGCUCAACCCGGGAACUGCGUCCGAUACUGGCAGGCUCGAAUUCGGGAGAGGGAUGCGGAAUUCCAGGUGUAGCGGUGAAAUGCGUAGAUAUCUGGAGGAACACCGGUGGCGAAGGCGGCAUCCUGGACCGGCAUUGACGCUGAGGCGCGAAAGCCAGGGGAGCAAACGGG
rnacentral:rRNA from 1 species